rnacentral:lncRNA from 1 species
CGCGGCCCGCCUCCUGCCUAGCCUCGUCUGCUAUGUUUCCAUGGGCUGUGGACCCUUCUCUCCCGCGGAGGUGGGUGGGCGCAGCCGCGGCUACUUGGUAGCGGGUUCGGGGCCCGGCCGCGCCUGCGGCGGCGAGAGCCAUCCUGGACCGACCUCGGGCCUGCGGAGGUUGUGUGCGGCGUCUGCGGGGUGCAGCGGCCUCAGUUCUGAGCGCAGGUUGACGCAGUGCCUUAAGAGGCUAACACAGACGGGCAAAGCAAGUCUCCAUAAAACCCUGAGAGGAGAUUGUCAGACUCCUCAUUGGAUCCUGUCUGGAGUCACAGCUGAACCACCAGAAAAUUCCUUCCAGUUUAAGCAUCUUUGUGAUAUUUUCUACACAGCUCAGCACAAGUGAUGAAUUCAAACUUAACCUUAGCAUUGGUGGUACAUUGAGGUAAGGUGUUGGUAUUUGUCACUGAGGGCAGGAACAACCCACUAGAAUGACUUAAAGACUGUAAGUUGAGAACGUCUGAAGGCACUGGCUGACAGAGGUCGUGAAGCUUCCAGAGCCCAACUUCACUGGGCAGAAAUAGCAGUUUCCUACUCAGACCAUCAACUAUUUCCAGGUACUCAAAACCUCCCCCAAAACGCCUUGAAUCAAUUUUGUCCCUCCCUCUCCCAAAGAUGAAUGAUUAUACAGAUCUUUGUGAGUAGCUGGCUACUGCCACCAAUGGAUUCCCAUUUUGCUGCCCUUGCCAAACUUUUAUGUGCCCUCCCAAAUACAACCACAGAACCCUCUGCUGAGGCAUGGGCCUCCUCUGAAGCAUUGAAACUAGCGUUGUCCACCCGUGCUCCCCCCAGCCCUCAGAUUACCCAGUUUUGACAAACCUUGUAACCUAUAUUGCCGUGAAAAUACUGGGAUAGCUGCAGGGAUUCUAGGGCAAGUCUUUUCCUUUCAGAAGCAUCCCGUAGAAUAUUUCUCAUCAGUUGGACCCUGUGACUUCAAGCCUGCCUCAAUGCCUAUGUGCUGUGCCUCAGCUGCCACCUCGAUUAACAAACCAGUGCCCUUACACAAGUUUCCCCUUUCACCUUUGUAUUCUGCAUGCUGUGUCAGC